rnacentral:rRNA from 1 species
GGGUUGUGAGGUUAAGCGACUAAGCGUACACGGUGGAUGCCCUGGCAGUCAGAGGCGAUGAAGGACGUGCUAAUCUGCGAUAAGCGUCGGUAAGGUGAUAUGAACCGUUAUAACCGGCGAUUUCCGAAUGGGGAAACCCAGUGUGUUUCGACACACUAUCAUUAACUGAAUCCAUAGGUUAAUGAGGCGAACCGGGGGAACUGAAACAUCUAAGUACCCCGAGGAAAAGAAAUCAACCGAGAUUCCCCCAGUAGCGGCGAGCGAACGGGGAGCAGCCCAGAGCCUGAAUCAGUGUGUGUGUUAGUGGAAGCGUCUGGAAAGGCGCGCGAUACAGGGUGACAGCCCCGUACACAAAAAUGCACAUAUUGUGAGCUCGAUGAGUAGGGCGGGACACGUGGUAUCCUGUCUGAAUAUGGGGGGACCAUCCUCCAAGGCUAAAUACUCCUGACUGACCGAUAGUGAACCAGUACCGUGAGGGAAAGGCGAAAAGAACCCCGGCGAGGGGAGUGAAAAAGAACCUGAAACCGUGUACGUACAAGCAGUGGGAGCACGCUUAGGCGUGUGACUGCGUACCUUUUGUAUAAUGGGUCAGCGACUUAUAUUCUGUAGCAAGGUUAACCGAAUAGGGGAGCCGAAGGGAAACCGAGUCUUAACUGGGCGUUAAGUUGCAGGGUAUAGACCCGAAACCCGGUGAUCUAGCCAUGGGCAGGUUGAAGGUUGGGUAACACUAACUGGAGGACCGAACCGACUAAUGUUGAAAAAUUAGCGGAUGACUUGUGGCUGGGGGUGAAAGGCCAAUCAAACCGGGAGAUAGCUGGUUCUCCCCGAAAGCUAUUUAGGUAGCGCCUCGUGAAUUCAUCUCCGGGGGUAGAGCACUGUUUCGGCAAGGGGGUCAUCCCGACUUACCAACCCGAUGCAAACUGCGAAUACCGGAGAAUGUUAUCACGGGAGACACACGGCGGGUGCUAACGUCCGUCGUGAAGAGGGAAACAACCCAGACCGCCAGCUAAGGUCCCAAAGUCAUGGUUAAGUGGGAAACGAUGUGGGAAGGCCCAGACAGCCAGGAUGUUGGCUUAGAAGCAGCCAUCAUUUAAAGAAAGCGUAAUAGCUCACUGGUCGAGUCGGCCUGCGCGGAAGAUGUAACGGGGCUAAACCAUGCACCGAAGCUGCGGCAGCGACGCUGAUGCGUUGUUGGGUAGGGGAGCGUUCUGUAAGCCUGUGAAGGUGUGCUGUGAGGCAUGCUGGAGGUAUCAGAAGUGCGAAUGCUGACAUAAGUAACGAUAAAGCGGGUGAAAAGCCCGCUCGCCGGAAGACCAAGGGUUCCUGUCCAACGUUAAUCGGGGCAGGGUGAGUCGACCCCUAAGGCGAGGCCGAAAGGCGUAGUCGAUGGGAAACAGGUUAAUAUUCCUGUACUUGGUGUUACUGCGAAGGGGGGACGGAGAAGGCUAUGUUGGCCGGGCGACGGUUGUCCCGGUUUAAGCGUGUAGGCUGGUUUUCCAGGCAAAUCCGGAAA